CUAGAGAUAGAAAGUUACUUCGGUACAUCGGUGACAGGUGUGCAUGGUUGUCGUCAGCUCGUGUCGUGAGAUUGUUGGGUUAAGUCCCGCAACGAGCGCAACCCCUAUUGUUAGUUGCCAUCAUUCAGUUGGGCACUCUAGCGAGACUGCCGGUAAUAAACCGGAGGAAGUGGGAUGACGUCAAAUCAUCAUGCCCCUUAUGACCUGGGCUACACACGUGCUACAAUGGUUGGUACAACGAGUUGCGAGUCGGUGACGGCGAGCUAAUCUCUUAAAGCCAAUCUCAGUUCGGAUUGUAGGCUGCAACUCGCCUACAUGAAGUCGGAAUCGCUAGUAAUCGCGGAUCAGCACGCCGCGGUGAAUACGUUCCCGGGCCUU
rnacentral:rRNA from 1 species